rnacentral:rRNA from 1 species
UACGUAGGUGGCAAGCGUUGUCCGGAUUUACUGGGCGUAAAGAGCGCGCAGGCGGUCGUUCAAGUCGCGUGUGAAAGCCCCCCGGCUCAACUGGGGAGGGUCACGCGAUACUGAUCGACUCGAAGGCAGGAGAGGGAAGUGGAAUUCCCGGUGUAGUGGUGAAAUGCGUAGAUAUCGGGAGGAACACCAGUGGCGAAGGCGACUUCCUGGCCUGUUCUUGACUGCUGAGGCG